GACAUGUUAGCAUCUUGGAAGUGUGAUUGAUUGACUUCCAAGAUGCUAAAGUGUCUGG
rnacentral:pre_miRNA from 1 species